CAAAAGCGAAGGCGAUCUGCUGGGAUGAUACUGACGCUGAGGCACGAAAGCGUGGGGAGCAAACAGGAUUAGAUACCCUGGUAGUCCACGCCCUAAACGAUGAAUGCUAGUCGUCGGGGAGCUCGUCUCUUCGGUGAUGCACUUAACAGAUUAAGCAUUCCGCCUGGGGAGUACGGUCGCAAGAUUAAAACUCAAAGGAAUAGACGGGGACCCGCACAAGUGGUGGAGCAUGUGGUUUAAUUCGAAGAUACACGAAGAACCUUACCUGGCCUUGAUAUGGUAGGAACCCUUAAAGAGAUUAGGGGGUGCUAGCUUGCUAGAACCUACACACAGGUGCUGCACGGCUGUCGUCAGCUCGUGUCGUGAGAUGUUGGGUAAAGUCCCGCAACGAGCGCAACCCUCGUCCUUAGUUGCUAACAGUUCGGCUGAGCACUCUAAGGAGACUGCCUUCG
rnacentral:rRNA from 1 species